rnacentral:rRNA from 1 species
GACGAACGCUGGCGGCGUGCUUAACACAUGCAAGUCGAACGGUAAGGCCCUUCGGGGUACACGAGUGGCGAACGGGUGAGUAACACGUGGGUGAUCUGCCCUGCACUUCGGGAGAAGCCUGGGAAACUGGGUCUAAUACCGGAUAGGACCACUGCCGGCAUGGGUGGGGGUGGAAAGCUUUUGCGGUGUGGGAUGGGCCCGCGGGAUAUCAGCUUGUUGGUGGGGUGAUGGCCUACCAAGGCGACGACGGGUAGCCGGCCUGAGAGGGUGACCGGCCACACUGGGACUGAGAUACGGCCCAGACUCCUACGGGAGGCAGCAGUGGGGAAUAUUGCACAAUGGGCGCAAGCCUGAUGCAGCGACGCCGCGUGAGGGAUGACGGCCUUCGGGUGGUAAACCUCUUUCAGCACCGACGAAGCGCAAGUGACGGUAGGUGCAGAAGAAGGACCGGCCAACUACGUGCCAGCCGCCGCAGUAA